UACAGAGGUCUCAAGCGUUGUUCGGAUUCAUUGGGCGUAAAGGGUGCGUGGGCGGCGCGGUAAGUCGGGUGUGAAAUUUCGGAGCUUAACUCCGAAACUGCAUUCGAUACUGCGGUGCUUGAGGACUGGAGAGGAGACUGGAAUUCAUGGUGUAGCAGUGAAAUGCGUAGAGAUCAUGAGGAAGACCAGUGGCGAAGGCGGGUCUCUGGACAGUUCCUGACACUGAGACACGAAGGCCAGGGGAGCAAACGGG
rnacentral:rRNA from 1 species